rnacentral:rRNA from 1 species
ACCGGGAGUGGUCGUUCAAUACUGCGGGGCUUGAGGGCAGAAGAGGGGGGUGGAAUUGCUGGUGUAGUGGUGAAAUGCGUAGAUAUCAGCAGGAACACCUGUGGCGAAAGCGGCCCCCUGGUCUGCUCCUGACACUCAGACGCGAAAGCUAGGGGAGUGAACGGGAUUAGAAACCCCGGUAAUCCUAGCCGUAAACGAUGGAUGCUAGGUGUGGGUGGUAUUGACCCCAUCCGUGCCGAAGCCAACGCGUUAAGCAUCCCGCCUGGGGACUACGGCCGCAAGGUUAAAACUCAAAGGAAUUGACGGGGACCCGCACAAGCAGCGGAGCGUGUGGUUUAAUUCGAUGCUACACGAAGAACCUUACCCAGGUUUGACAUGCAGGUAGUAGUGAAGCGAAAGCGGAACGACUCG